rnacentral:rRNA from 1 species
AUUGAACGCUGGCGGCAGGCCUAACACAUGCAAGUCGAGCGAGCGGCGGACGGGUGAGUAAUGUCUGGGAAACUGCCUGAUGGAGGGGGAUAACUACUUGAAACGGUAGCUAAUACCGCAUACCAUCAUAUGUGCCCAGAUGGGAUUAGCUAGUAGGUGGUGUAAUGGCUCACCUAGGCGACGAUCCCUAGCUGGUCUGAGAGGAAGACCAGCAAAGAUGGAGCUGAGACACGGUCCAGGCGCCUACGGGAGGCAGCAGUGGGGAAUAUUGCACAAUGGGCGAAAGCCUGAUGCAGCAAUGCCGCGUGUGUGAAGAAGGCCUUCGGGUUGUAAAGCACUUUCAGCGGGAAGGCGUUACCCGAAGAAGAAGAACCGGCUAACUCCGUGCCGGCGGACGCGGUAAUUC